rnacentral:rRNA from 1 species
GAUGAACGCUAGCGGCAGGCUUAAUACAUGCAAGUCGAGGGGCAGCAUGAAUGUAGCAAUACAUUUGAUGGCGACCGGCAAACGGGUGCGGAACACGUACACAACCUUCCUAUAAGUGGGGAAUAGCCCAGAGAAAUUUGGAUUAAUACCCCGUAACAUAAUGAUGUGGCAUCACAUUAUUAUUAUAGCUACGGCGCUUAUUGAUGGGUGUGCGGCUGAUUAGGUAGUUGGCGGGGUAACGGUCCACCAAGGCUACGAUCAGUAGCUGAUGUGAGAGAAUGAUCAGCCACACGGGCACGGAGACACGGGCCCGACUCCUACGGGAGGCAGCAGUAAGGAAUAUUGGUCAAUGGACGCAAGUCUGAACCAGCCAUGCCGCGUGAAGGAUUAAGGUCCUCUGGAUUGUAAACUUCUUUUAUCUGGGACGAAAAAAGGCGAUUCUUCGUCACUUGACGGUACCAGAUGAAUAAGCACCGGCUAACUCCGUGCCAGCCGCCGCGGUAACAC